rnacentral:tRNA from 1 species
GCCUGGGUGGCUCAGUGGUUGAGCGUCUGUCUUUGGCCCAGAGCAUGAUCUUAGAGUCCUGGGAUCGAGUCCCACAUCGGGCU